rfam:Anopheles gambiae str. PEST whole genome shotgun sequencing project, whole genome shotgun sequence.
CAAACGGCUCUUUUCAGAGCCACCGCUUCAGUUAUUAAGAACAUCU